CGGUGAGCUGCNGGGGGAUUUUUG
rnacentral:rRNA from 1 species